AAGUGUGCUCUUCAGAUGGAUAAAGCCAAAGGCCAUUUGCUAGCUGGCUCCCCCAUUUUUUCCUGUAGUCCUUUCCAAUGUGGCAGCAGGACUGUCAGUCAGAGCUUCUGCACUCCCUACCCCAGCUACUGUAGGUCCCAGAACCGUCUGCCCUGCUCAGAAGUGCCAAUCUCUCGCCGAGAACUCUCCCCUCCGGCCGAGUGAUGUGCUGCAAGAACUGUGCAGAUUGAUUGAUUUGAGGAUAAAGAGAAAGGACUGAGAAAAAAAAUAAAAAAACAUUCAGCCAGUUGUUACGGCUUCUUCGAUAAUCAUUGAAACUUUCUAAUAUGGCACUGGGGGCAACCCUAUCAGAACUUUCCUCUAAGACUCUUAAUAUACAAUGCAGUGUUCUAGAGACGCUUGAGAUGAGGAGGAAAAAAUGCUUUCAAGGUUCACCAUGUUUCUAUGUACUACAAUCAGAUUUGCUUUGUAUUGCUUUUUGUUCUUUAUUUCACAAGACUGCUGCAUAACCAACAUCAAUAAAAUAUAUACCCCAAAAAGGGGGGGGAGUGUAAAAUUAAACGUGGUGAUUCUAAGUGGAAGCCUUUGAACUAGUGUCUGUUGUAAUGUGUGACGUUUUUCUUGUUUUGCUCUGCUUGCAAGCCUUUCCUUGCCCUUGGAAUCUAUUAACCCGCAAAAAAAUCUGGAUAAAUGCUUUUUGCUUUGCUGUCAUGCAAAACUUAAAGCUUUUGGUGUUUCUAUGCAGGUUAUUUUUCACUGAAAGAUGUAAAUAUAAAAUGUUUUACAUCUCUCCUAGGGUCAGACCAGUCAGACUUUUUUUUUUAAAUUAAUAAAAUUUUUCAAUAAUUGAAA